CAGUGGAGCAGCAGCCCGGGCUGCCCGUGGUCCAGGGAAGGCAGGGCCAGGAAUAAAGUCAGACAUCCUCUAAACAAAGCUCUCAAUCGCCUGAUUUAAAGCCGUGCGACCUUUCAUGCAGCCCUGGGGUGCCCAAGCUGUGACCAGACCCUGCUGGGGUGCCCCGGUUGCACUGCCACCACGCAGGGAUGCUUCCUACUCAUUUAGGCACCUGUCUCCAGAUUGCUGUCUGUUGUGAUCUGUUCCCCCCGAUUGCUCCCCCGCGCGCUGAUCACCUCUCCUCCCACCGGCGCCCGUGGCGGGGAGGCCGGCGACGAGCGAGGUCUCAAUUUUUGGAGGGAAUUCAGCUGGCCAGCAUGAACCGCCUUGAUGUUUUCUUGUCGCAAAUUCAUGGCUUCACCAGCACCGCCAUCCCACCCUGAGAUCUGUGCGUGCCAGAGGAGGGAGGUGGGAGCAGAGAACAGUGAUGCUCUGGCCAGCCCCAGCCUCUCCUGUCACUUGGUCUUCCUCAGCGUAUCAGUUCUGGUGAGCUCAGCCCAGGUUCCAGUAGCCUGCCGUGAUCUUGGAUUUCAUACUUGCUUUGCACCUCUUAGAAAGCGUUCUCUGAAUCCGAAAACAUGGCAGAUGGCAGUUUGUGAGAAGAAAACAGCUCUCCAGUGCCAGAUUGAAGCAAGUCUGUAAGUUUUCAUUGUAUUUAAAAAAAAAAAAAAAAAAAA